CCAGGUUCGGAUGGACAAUGAUGUCUCCGGGUAAGGAAUUCGACCACUCAAAGAUGCUCCUGACACAGACAAGCCAGUCAGAUUACGAGGACUUAUGUAGAUUGGACGUAUUGGGGCUGGAGGACAAGCCUGAACAUGAUCAAUAUGCGGUCCAUGCAGAAUUUCGUGAGCAGCUAGUACGACAUCAGGAAGGGUGGUACGAGACAGGUUUACUUUGGAAAGGGAGCCACCCCCCUCUACCAAAUAAUAAAACAGGCAGUUUACGGCGACUAACGCAACUCCAUAACAAGCUACAACGGAUGGAAAUGACGGAGAAGUAUGCAGAGGUGAUCAAUCAACAAAAGUCAGAGGGGAUAGUGGAGUCUGCAACCGAACCACCAACCGGGAAAGAAUUUUACAUACCCCACAAACCUGUUAUGAGAACACAAGCUGAAUCAACCAAACUACGCGUUGUUUACGAUGCUUCAGCUCGAGAAAACACACAAGAACCAAGCCUUAAUGAUUGUCUUUAUGCAGGACCUCCGCUUCAAAAUCGGUUGUGGAACGUGUUGGUACGCAUUCGUUUUCACCCAGUUGCAGUGACCGGGGACAUUAAACAGGCUUUUUUACAAGUCCGUAUCAGGAAAGCAGAGAGAGACUCACUCAGAUUCCAUUGGAAGUCCAAUAAACAGUCGUUAGUCGAAACAUUGAGAUUCACGCGAGCGCUAUUUGGUCUAGUGUGUUCGCCGUUCCUUCUCGGCGGUGUCGUCGAACGUCACCUGGAAUCGUGGAAAGAACGUGAACCAGAGUUGGUCGCUGAAAUCCGUAGAAGCCUUUAUGUUGACGACCUACUGAGUGGUAAGCCAACCGUAGCAGAAGCAAAGGAUUUGAAGGAAGGAGCUAUUAAGAUUUUUCAAGAUGCCAAGUUCACAUUACACAAAUGGCAUUCAAAUGAUCCUGAGUUGGAAAGCGAACAGUCCAGCGUGGAGACGGAGAAUACCUUUGCCAAACAGCAACUUGGUGCACCAACCGAUCCGGAGUCAAGUCUUCUCGGCCUGUCCUGGAACAAGGAAGCUGAUGAGUUCAGUGUUGUGGCCUCGAUAUGAAACCGAACGUGACUAAGAGAGAACUUUUGAGCAAUCUAGCAAGCAUUUAUGAUCCCUUGGGCCUUGUAGCACCUGUGACACUCAAGGGAAAGACAAUCUACCGAGAAACGUGCAAGGCAAAAACAGCAUGGGAUGCAUCACUUCCAGAACCACAAGCAGCAGAAUAUGGUCGAUGGGUAAGGGAACUGCCUAGACGUGUAACUGUACCGAGAGCCUUGACAACUCAGCGCGAAGCUGUAGAAGAAAUUGAGCUGCACACAUUCGGGGAUGCAAGUGGGAAAGGAGUUUGUGCAGCCCUUUAUGCAAUUGUGAAACAAGGUGAUGAAACCAACGUGGGUUUAGUCGCUGCCAGAGCAAGAUUAGCUAAACAGGACUUGAGCAUACCUCGCCUAGAACUUGUUUCCGCCCAUAUGGCAGCAAAUCUGAUGAUAAAUGUUCAACAAGCGCUUGAUGGAAUGCCUGUUACGGGAACCUACGGAUGGCUAGACAGCACGGUAGCGCUGCAAUGGUUAAAAGGGGGAGGAGAAUAUAAACAAUUUGUGGCCAAUCGGGUGAGAAAGAUUCAAGCUUGCCCAGAUAUAAUUUGGCGUCAUGUCCCAAGUCAAGACAACCCUGCUGACCUGGGAAGUCGGGGAGGACAGGUGACUGGAAAUCUACUGUGGUGGAAAGGACCUCCGUGGUUGACCAAUCAGAGCGAGUGGCCAAGAGAUAUAGUAACGACUGCAACCAAUGAAAGCGAAGCCGAAGCCAAAGCGACAAGAGCAGUGUUCAAGUUAGCUGUAGAACCAACCAACCCACCUGAUGGAAUCUUGACAAAGUUUUCCCUCAACAAAGCUGUAAGAGUAAACGCAUGGAUUUCUCGAUUUGUGUAUAAUUGUCGAGCGAAAGCAACUAAGAAAGAGACACGGUCGGGCCGUUGACAACGCAAGAGAUAAACGACCAACACAGCGCUUAUGUAAAACAAGCCCAAGCAAUUCUAUACGACAAAGUGAGCGACGAUAAGCAACGCCUGGGUGUACAAAUGAAUGAAGAUGGUAUCCUCGUGUGCAAAGGUCGUUUGCAAGGUCAAUAUCCCGUAUUUUUACCGGACAGUCAUCUUUACACCACUAAACUCGUAGAAGAUGCGCAUCAACGCACGUUACACGGGGGAGUCGGGCUCACUAUGGCCAAGAUUAGAGAGAACGUUUGGGUGCCAAGGCUAAGACAACUUGUAAAGAAGACCGUAAAGGGAUGCCACGGGUGUCGACGAUUUCAUGCUAAGCCAGUUAGUAAACCACCUCCAGGAAACUUGCCCGUAGACCGAACAGAAGGUGAUCGUCCGUUUCAGGUCGUAGGCGUCGAUUUCGCCGGCCCCAUCAAGUAUCGCGUCACCAAAAAGACGGAAGGAAAGGCGUAUAUAACCCUCUACGCAUGUAGUCUAACGCGAGCCCUCUACCUAGAGUUAACCACGAGCAUGGAAACCGAUGAAUUUAUCCCUACCCUCAAGCGACUCAUCGCGAGGAAAGGCAGACCGGAAAAGAUUUAUUCCGACAACGCGAAGACCUUCGUUGCGGCAGCCAAGUGGUUGAAGAAGGCACAACAAGAUGAAAAAUUCAAUCAUUUCCUGGCCAACGAAAAAAUAAAAUGGCAGUUCAAUCUAAGUCGGGCCCCCUGGUGGGGGGGGGGGCAAUUCGAACGUAUGGUCGGCUUGGUCAAGUCCGCGUUGUACAAGUCUAUUGGGAAUGGCUUCUUAACCAAGAAAGAACUCGAAGAUGUCCUUCUAGACAUUGAAACAACAUUGAACAACAGACCUCUAGGGUACCAAGAAGAUGAUAUCCAAAUGCCAACAUUGACACCGAACAGUUUGCAGUUUGUUGGAUCGACCCACCUUCCGGAACCCGAACAUUACCACGAAGCCGAUCCUGACCUACGUAAACGCGCGAAAUACCUAAAGAAAUGUAAAGAUCACAUGUGGAACAGGUGGACGAAAGAGUACCUACGAGCCUUACGAGAACGACAUAAUUUAAAACAUGAUACGAAGCCAUUCAGCCUAGCUGUGGGUGAUGUCGUCAUAAUUUAUUCUGAAGAGCGCAAUAGAGGAAAGUGGCCGCUCGGAAUGGUUCAGGAACUUUACCCAGGAAGAGACGGGGUCGUUCGAGCAGCGAAAAUAAAGACGGGAAACGGUCAUUUAGAGAGAGCAGUCAAUCUACUCUACCCACUUGAACUGUCGUGUGACAUAAGACCAUCAACCGGUAGUGAAAACCUCAAUCCAGAAGCUGCAGUAUUUCGACCAACCCGCGAGGCAGCGGUCACCGCAAGGUUACGCAUCCAAGAGCAAGCGAACGAUGAUGAAAUUUGAACAAGAAAUUGAACAUAGUAUAUCCUUUUGAGACGUUAAAGUUUAUAUCUAAUAGAUGACAUUUAGUAGACCUUACAUUAGUAACAUUGAGAUUAUUUAAGUUUCCUUUCAGUACAUAUACCUUCAAAAAGCUAUAUGGGGGGAGAGUGUCGGAAACUAUAUUUAGCUUUUUUAUUAUCGCGUGGGACAUGCGAGUAUACUCGCGGACAGUCGGACAGCUCCGGAAGAUACCGUUGAGAAUGUUUACAUAGCGAGGGAUUCGGGAAAGAACACAGCGAAGCAUAAG